rnacentral:rRNA from 1 species
GACAGAGGCCUCAAGCGUUAGGCGGAAUCACUGGGCUUAAAGCGUGUGUAGGCGGAUCGUUAAGUGCCUUGUGAAAUCCCACGGCUUAACUGUGGAACGGCUGGGCAUACUGGCGGUCUUGAGCCAUCUAGGGGCGACUGGAACAAACGGUGGAGCGGUGAAAUGCGUAGAUAUCAGGAGGAACACCGAUGGCGAAGGCAGGUCUCUGGGCCAUAACUGACGCUGAGAAGCGAAAGCAUGGGGAGCGAACAGG